rnacentral:rRNA from 1 species
AUUGAACGCUGGCGGAAUGCUUUACACAUGCAAGUCGAACGGCAGCACGGACUUCGGUCUGGUGGCGAGUGGCGAACGGGUGAGUAAUGUAUCGGAACGUGCCCAGUCGUGGGGGAUAACGUAGUGAAAAUUACGCUAAUACCGCAUACGAUCUAUGGAUGAAAGCGGGGGAUCGCAAGACCUCGCGCGAUUGGAGCGGCCGAUAUCAGAUUAGGUAGUUGGUGGGGUAAAGGCCCACCAAGCCAACGAUCUGUAGCUGGUCUGAGAGGACGACCAGCCACACUGGAACUGAGACACGGUCCAGACUCCUACGGGAGGCAGCAGUGGGGAAUUUUGGACAAUGGGCGAAAGCCUGAUCCAGCCAUUCCGCGUGCAGGACGAAGGCCUUCGGGUUGUAAACUGCUUUUGUACAGAACGAAAAGGUUUCUACUAAUACUAGGAGCUCAUGACGGUACUGUAAGAAUAAGCACCGGCUAACUACGUGCCAGCCGCCGCAGUAA